rnacentral:rRNA from 1 species
UUACCAGACUCCUACGGGAGGCAGCAGUGGGGAAUAUUGGGCAAUGGGCGCAAGCCUGACCCAGCAACGCCGCGUGAAGGAAGAAGGCUUUCGGGUUGUAAACUUCUUUUCUGGGGGACGAAGAAAGUGACGGUACCCCAGGAAUAAGCCACGGCUAACUACGUGCCAGCAGCCGCGGUAAUACGUAGGUGGCAAGCGUUAUCCGGAUUUAUUGGGUGUAAAGGGCGUGUAGGCGGGAAUGCGAGUCAGAUGUGAAAACUAUGGGCUCAACCCAUAGCCUGCAUUUGAAACUGUAUUUCUUGAGUGCUGGAGAGGCAAUCGGAAUUCCGUGUGUAGCGGUGAAAUGCGUAGAUAUACGGAGGAACACCAGUGGCGAAGGCGGAUUGCUGGACAGUAACUGACGCUGAGGCGCGAAAGCGUGGGGAGCAAACAGGAUUAGAUACCAAU